rnacentral:tRNA from 1 species
AGCGGUGUAGCUCAGCCCGGUAGAGCAACCGACCGAUAAUCGGUGUGUCGCAGGUUCAAAUCCUGCCAUCGCUACCA